AAUAAGGUGACUGAAUUUAUAGGUGAUAAAUUGUAAAUUUAUUUAUGGAAACAAUUUCCCCUUAUUA
rnacentral:tRNA from 1 species